rnacentral:rRNA from 1 species
UACACUCCUACGGGAGGCAGCAGUGGGGAAUUUUGGACAAUGGGCGCAAGCCUGAUCCAGCCAUGCCGCGUGCGGGAAGAAGGCCUUCGGGUUGUAAACCGCUUUUGUCAGGGAAGAAAAGGUUCUGGCUAAUACCUGGGACUCAUGACGGUACCUGAAGAAUAAGCACCGGCUAACUACGUGCCAGCAGCCGCGGUAAUACGUAGGGUGCAAGCGUUAAUCGGAAUUACUGGGCGUAAAGCGUGCGCAGGCGGUUAUGCAAGACAGAGGUGAAAUCCCCGGGCUCAACCUGGGAACUGCCUUUGUGACUGCAUGGCUAGAGUACGGUAGAGGGGGAUGGAAUUCCGCGUGUAGCAGUGAAAUGCGUAGAUAUGCGGAGGAACACCGAUGGCGAAGGCAAUCCCCUGGACCUGUACUGACGCUCAUGCACGAAAGCGUGGGGAGCAAACAGGAUUAGAAACCCCAGUAGUCCCAUGA